rnacentral:misc_RNA from 2 species
GGAAGGAUCAUUAAUGAAAUGCAAGGACGCUCUUUUUAGAGGUCCGACCCCAAAUCAUUUUCCUUUACACUGUGCACAUACUACUUUUUUACACCAAUUUUUUAACACAUCAGUCUUAAGAAUGUAAAUCAAGUCUCGAAAGAGCAAUAAAUAAAACAAAACUUUCAGCAACGGAUCUCUUGGCUCUCGCAUCGAUGAAGAACGCAGCGAAAUGCGAUACGUAAUGUGAAUUGCAGAAUUCAGUGAAUCAUCGAAUCUUUGAACGCACCUUGCACUCUUUGGUAUUCCGAAGAGUAUGUCUGUUUGAGUGUCAUGAAACUCUCAACCCCCUCAUUUUGUAAUGAAGUGUAGCGUGGGCUUGGAUUAUGGCUGUCUGUCGGCUUAACCGCCGGCUCAGCUGAAAUAUACGAGCAACCCAGUUUAAAACCCUGACGGCUUGACUCGGCGUAAUAAUUAUUUCGCUGAGGACGUCUAACCUUUAAAUCGUUAGUGGUGCUUCUAAUGCAUUUAUAAUUUAAGCUUUAGACCUCAAAUCAGGCAGGACUACCCGCUGAACUUAAGCAUAUAAGG